rnacentral:lncRNA from 1 species
AAAAAAGAGAAAGAGGAGGGGGAGGAUGAAAAAAGAAUUGAAGAGCAGGAAAAGGUUAUUACAUUUGUUGGGCACUUACUACACAUCAGAACUAUAUUAAGUUCCCUAAAAGCAUCAGUUCCAAUCCUUUCAAAUACUGUGAGGCGCAGGCAUUUUUACCUCCAUUUUCCAAAAGAGAAAACUGAGGCUUAGAGAUGUGAGUGACUGGUGAGGUUACGCAAGGAUAAAUGGCCAGCCAGCACAGGCCUGUCUGGUUCAAAGUUCAUGCAUUUCCCAGCAUGCUGAAGUGGGGGUAAUGACAGUCAGGAAGGGUGUCUAUGCUGGGCUCUGCAGAGUGCAGAAUUUACCCUUGCCCCAAAGAGGUCGGCUAUUUGUCCUCAGCUUCUGGGAAAUUAUCUUGAAGGUCUCGGAAUGUCAUGUGUUCUGGCUGAGUUCAUUGCAGAUAUCCUAUGGUCACUUUGGCUGUGGUCCCAGAGCUAUAGAAAGGUACAAGGGGUACUGGGCCAUCAGCGCUGUGGUACUUCUCAGGACAGGAAGUGGCAAAGGCAGAACGCUUAAUUCCAGUUGCUGAAGCAAAUAGCGGCAAGAAAUUCACCUCCAGAGAGCCACUUAGCAAGGAGUGGAACGGUAAAAAGAAGCACUGAAACCAUCUCAUUCUCAUGUUCAAUAGCGUUUUCAGUUGGUUACCAUACUAUAAUUAGCAUGGUGAUUUUUUUAGAUCAAGGAGAGAGAUUCAGAGUUUAG